rnacentral:rRNA from 1 species
AUUGAACGCUGGCGGAAUGCUUUACACAUGCAAGUCGAACGGCAGCACGGACUUCGGUCUGGUGGCGAGUGGCGAACGGGUGAGUAAUGUAUCGGAACGUGCCCAGUCGCGGGGGAUCACGUAGUGAAAAUUACGCUAAUACCGCAUACGAUCUAUGGAUGAAAGCGGGGGAUCGCAAGACCUCGCGCGAUUGGAGCGGCCGAUAUAAGAUUAGGUAGUUGGUGGGGUAAAGGCUCACCAAGCCAACGAUCUGUAGCUGGUCUGAGCGGACGCACAGCCACACCGGAACUGAGACACGGUCCAGACUCCUACGGGAGGCAGCAGUGGCGAAUUUUGGACAAUAGGCGAAAGCCUGAUCCAGCCAUUCCGCGUGCAGGAGGAAGGCCCUCGGGUUGUAAACUGCUUUUGUACAGAACGAAAAGGUUUCUACUAAUACUAGGAGCUCAUGACGGUACUGUAAGAAUAAGCACCGGCUAACUACGUGCCAGCCGCCGCGGUAA